rnacentral:rRNA from 1 species
UACGUAGGGACCAAGCGUUGUUCGGAUUUACUGGGCGUAAAGGGCGCGUAGGCGGCGUGGUAAGUCACUUGUGAAAUCUCUGAGCUCAACUCAGAACGGCCAAGUGAUACUGCUGUGCUAGAGUGCAGAAGGGGCAAUCGGAAUUCUUGGUGUAGCGGUGAAAUGCGUAGAUAUCAAGAGGAACACCUGAGGUGAAGACGGGUUGCUGGGCUGACACUGACGCUGAGGCGCGAAAGCCAGGGGAGCAAACAGG